AGUGAACGCUGGCGGUAGGCCUAACACAUGCAAGUCGAACGGCAGCACAGUAAGAGCUUGCUCUUACGGGUGGCGAGUGGCGGACGGGUGAGGAAUACAUCGGAAUCUACUUUUUCGUGGGGGAUAACGUAGGGAAACUUACGCUAAUACAGCAUACGACCUACGGGUGAAAGCAGGGGAUCUUCGGACCUUGCGCGAUUGAAUGAGCCGAUGUCGGAUUAGCUAGUUGGCGGGGUAAAGGCCCACCAAGGCGACGAUCCGUAGCUGGUCUGAGAGGAUGAUCAGCCACACUGGAACUGAGACACGGUCCAGACUCCUACGGGAGGCAGCAGUGGGGAAUAUUGGACAAUGGGCGCAAGCCUGAUCCAGCCAUACCGCGUGGGUGAAGAAGGCCUUCGGGUUGUAGAGCCCUUUUGUUGGGAAAGAAAAGCAGCAGGUUAAUACCCCGCUGUUCUGACGGUACCCAAAGAAUAAGCACCGGCUAACUUCGUG
rnacentral:rRNA from 1 species